UGAGGAAUAUUGGACAAUGGGCGCAAGCCUGAUCCAGCAAUGCCGCGUGCAGGAUGAAGGCCUUCGGGUUGUAAACUGUUUUUGUACGGAGCGAAAAGGUCUGCCCUAAUACGGUGGGCUCAUGACGGUACCGUAAGAAUAAGCACCGGCUAACUACGUGCCAGCAGCCGCGGUAAUACGUAGGGUGCGAGCGUUAAUCGGAAUUACUGGGCGUAAAGCGUGCGCAGGCGGUUAUAUAAGACAGAUGUGAAAUCCCCGGGCUCAACCUGGGACCUGCAUUUGUGACUGUAUAGCUAGAGUACGGUAGAGGGGGAUGGAAUUCCGCGUGUAGCAGUGAAAUGCGUAGAUAUGCGGAGGAACACCGAUGGCGAAGGCAAUCCCCUGGACCUGUACUGACGCUCAUGCACGAAAGCGUGGGGAGCAAACA
rnacentral:rRNA from 1 species